UACGGAGGGUGCAAGCGUUGCUCGGAAUUAUUGGGCGUAAAGGGUAGGUAGGUGGUCUUAUUUGUCUGGGGUGAAAGCCUUGAGCUUAACUCAAGAAGUGCCCCAGAAACGGUAAGACUCGAGUCUUGGAGAGGGUCGGUGGAAUUCCCAGUUCGUAGCGGUGAAAUGCGUAGAUAUUGGGAGGAACACCAGUGGCGAAGGCGG
rnacentral:rRNA from 1 species